UUAUAAUAUAGUCAUUACAUAACUAUGGUCUAAAUUGACAUAAAUGAUAACAUCAUUAACACUUCUUGUAUUUUCAAUAUUUCAUUUUUAAAAUCAUUCCAUUUCUGGAUAAUUUAUUAUUUUUAUAAUAUGCUAUAUGAGCUAAUGGUAUGGCUCCAUAGUGUAUAGGCUCUAUUACCUAUAUGCCUUUAUGCAAAAUUGGUCCUCAAUUUCUUGUAAGAUUUGAUGUUCUGAAAGUAAAUGCUGUAACAAUCUGGUAAACUGUUUGUAGUAAUUCCCUCUUCUCUGCUUAAAGAUUUGGUUAAAAUGCUUUCAAAGUUAAGUUAAAUUUCUUUAUACUUCAUAAUCAACAUUAGUUUUGAUAAUUUUGCAAGAUAACCCGCAAUUUCUACUGUUUUUCCUUCGUUAGUUCUAAUCUAUUUCAAACCAGACCUCAGUUGAGUAUGAAUAAAGGAACAUAAGCUUUGAGUUUCCUGAAAUUCUUAACUAUUUGUCAAAUUGAAUUGGUAUAAUUUGUAAAACAUAGUUUCUAACUUCUUUUCAUUAUGUGUUCUAUCAAAUCUAAUUCUAACCAUUUCGUUGUUGGCUCCUUUUAUGAGUGACCAAUUUUCAAAUUCUAUCUUAGAUCUAUCUUAGAUCUAUGAAUUUGGUUACUCAAAUUUGUUACAGGUAUGGAAUUAGUGAAUGUAAAAUUUGUUACUGUUGAUACAUCACUCUAUAAGUCAUGUGAUUAACUAAGAAAAACAAGUUUUUUGCUAAAAAUCCAUUUUAUUUAUCAAUAUAAUCUCCUUCAAGAGCAAUACAAUCAUACCAACUGUUCUCUACUUUUUCGAUGCCGUGCUUGUAGAGGAUUUGUCUUUUUCCUCAAAAUGGGCUUCAGUUUCAGCAAUUGCCUCUUCAUUUAAGCUGAAUUUUUCAUCGGCGAUCAUUUUUAUGAGUUCAGUGAAUAGCUAGUAGUCACUGAGGUCCAGAUCUGGACUAUACGGUCGAUGAGAAAGCAAUUCAAAGUGUAAUACGUUAGAUUCAACCACCGUUUUAAUUCUGGAGUGAAGUGAUGGAUCCAUGUUUCAUCCAUUGUCACAUUUCGACACAAAAAAUUGAUUUAUUACGUGUAAACAUGGUCAAAUACUGCUCUGAACUAUCAUCACGUUGUUAUUUUUUAUCCAGUAAAUACUUUGAGAAAAGCUAAAGCUUUCCCAUGGAAAAAUGUUCAUGCAUAAUUAUAAAUACACUGCCUUCUAAUAUCUUUACGGUCUCAGCUAUUGCACGCAAUUUCAAUUCACGAUUAGAUUUCUGGUCUUUUUCUAUGUUUUCUGGAUUAACCACCUCAAUUGGACGACCACGUUCACCAUCAUCGGUGUCUGUACGAACACGUUUAAAUACAACAAACCAAUAACAAAUGGUUCUUUUCGAUUGAACAGAGUCCGGUUAAUACUUUUGAAGCCAUUGCUGAACUUCUACAGUAUUUUUAUUUCAUCAAGAAGCAAUGAAAAAUUAACAAACGAAAUUGUUUUGAGUCCAUUGUUUUGAAAAUAACAAAAGUAGCUUCUCUUAAAUGGCUGUCACAUUUUUCUGACAAAUCGAAAUGCUAUGAAAUUUCACACAUAGUCUUUUGAAAGUUGAUUCUUCAUAAACGUCAUAUGGAUUUGACGAUUGCAGCGCCAUCUGUGUGUCAGUCACACGACUUAUUGACUUAUCGCAGAGGAGUCAUUGACGCGACUAUGGGAGCAGCAGUGAAUUAAUUUAGCUAGUUAUCUAUUUAAUUUGAAUUUGUUGGCCUGUAGGUAUGUAGAGAGGUGCCAGGUAACAAUGUGAUGGAUUGGAAAAAUCAAUUUUUUCCCAAGAUCCAAACAAAAUAUGUUUUCUGUUAAAUUUUGGACUUUCUUUGCUCUUUCGAGCUAAACAUAAAUUUCACAACUAUUCCUUGAGAAAUAUUUUGUCCAAAUUUUGGUUGAGAUAUGUUUUAUCACUAAAGUUCAACAACCAUAAUCGUAUUACCCACCUAUAUGGAUGAUUUCAAGAAUAUUUUUUCCAAUUAGGUAUAAGUUGAUAAAAUGGAAAUUUUAUUGUGCAAUAGAAACAACUAGCAUUUUUGUUCUGUGGAAACGUGUUUGCAUUCGACCAUAAAUAUCAUUUUUCUGAAGCUACGGAAUUAUGUUUAGGUAUUACAAUUUUAAGUGUCUUCUUCAACUAUAAAGAAGCAAAAUAAAUUCAAACUCAUAAUUAAGUGGCUUUAAAAGCUUUAAAACACAAACAAAAGAAUACAAUGAAGAUAUGCUAAAGGAAGUUACCAUUAUAGAAAAA